AUACGUAGGGGGCGAGCGUUGUCCGGAAUGAUUGGGCGUAAAGGGCGCGUAGGCGGCCUGUUAAGUCUGGAGUGAAAGUCCUGUUUUCAAGAUGGGAAUUGCUUUGGAUACUGAUGGGCUUGAGUGCAGGAGAGGUUAUCGGAAUUCCCGGUGUAGCGGUGAAAUGCGUAGAGAUCGGGAGGAACACCAGUGGCGAAGGCGGGUAACUGGACUGCAACUGACGCUGAGGCGCGAAAGUGUGGGGAGCAAACAGGAUUAGAUACCCUGGUAGUCCACACUGUAAACGAUGAAUGCUAGGUGUAAGAGGUAUCGACCCCUUUUGUGCCGGAGUUAACACAAUAAGCAUUCCGCCUGGGGAGUACGGCCGCAAGGUCGAAACUCAAAGGAAUUGACGGGG
rnacentral:rRNA from 1 species